rnacentral:rRNA from 1 species
GAUGAACGCUAGCUACAGGCUUAACACAUGCAAGUCGAGGGGAAACGAUAGAGAAAGCUUGCUUUUUCUAGGCGUCGACCGGCGCACGGGUGAGUAACGCGUAUCCAACCUGCCCACCACUUGGGGAUAACCUUGCGAAAGUAAGACUAAUACCCAAUGACGUCUCUAGAAGACAUCUGAAAGGGAUUAAAGAUUUAUCGGUGAUGGAUGGGGACGCGUCUGAUUAGCUUGUUGGCGGGGUAACGGCCCACCAAGGCAACGAUCAGUAGGGGUUCUGAGAGGAAGGUCCCCCACAUUGGAACUGAGACACGGUCCAAACUCCUACGGGAGGCAGCAGUGAGGAAUAUUGGUCAAUGGGCGAGAGCCUGAACCAGCCAAGUAGCGUGCAGGAUGACGGCCCCUAUGGGUUGGUAAAACUGCUUUUAUUAAGGGAAAUAAAGUAGAGCCUCGUGAGGCUUUUUGUCAUGUACCUUAAUGAAUAAAAGGAACCGGGACCGUAAUUUACCGUUG